GGGCAAACCUUGCGAAAGCAGGGGACGCAAAGCCAAGGGUCUAAGGGCAUAGCCUAUGACAGCCGGUUGCCGU
rnacentral:ncRNA from 1 species